rnacentral:rRNA from 1 species
UGGGGAAUAUUGCACAAUGGGCGCAAGCCUGAUGCAGCCAUGCCGCGUGUAUGAAGAAGGCCUUCGGGUUGUAAAGUACUUUCAGCGGGGAGGAAGGGAGUAAAGUUAAUACCUUUACUCAUUGACGUUACCCGCAGAAGAAGCACCGGCUAACUCCGUGCCAGCAGCCGCGGUAAUACGGAGGGUGCAAGCGUUAAUCGGAAUUACUGGGCGUAAAGCGCACGCAGGCGGUUUGUUAAGUCAGAUGUGAAAUCCCCGGGCUCAACCUGGGAACUGCAUCUGAUACUGGCAAGCUUGAGUCUCGUAGAGGGGGGUAGAAUUCCAGGUGUAGCGAUGAAAUGCGUAGAGAUCUGGAGGAAUACCGGUGGCGAAGGCGGCCCCCUGGACGAAGACUGACGCUCAGGUGCGAAAGCGUGGGGAGCAAACAGG